GCCCGGGUGGCGGAAUGGUAGACGCGCAGGUCUCAAAAACCUGUGAAUAUAAUGUUCGUGAGAGUUCGAGUCUCUCCCUGGGCACCA
rnacentral:tRNA from 1 species